GGCUUGCCAAAAUCUGCCUCACAACAUGGAUGGUGGACAAAUUCCAGCAUUUGGAGACUGGGAGCACGCAAAUGAGAUGCCAAUAACACAGUAUUUCGAGUGUGCAAGACAAGCGGGCUUGAUUCGAUACACUUCCUCUGGAGAAUGUGAUCAAUACAUGCGUGGUGACUUAUAUGCUACCGAUUUCAAGAAACCUUCUCGUGAACUUGGUCCUCCAAGAAAGACAAGGCUGAGAGAGAGGAAAGUCCCA
rnacentral:misc_RNA from 1 species